rnacentral:rRNA from 1 species
CACGUAGGGUGCGAGCGUUGUCCGGAAUUAUUGGGCGUAAAGAGCUCGUAGGCGGUGUGUCGCGUCGGCCGUGAAAACCUGCAGCUUAACUGUGGGCUUGCGGUCGAUACGGGCAUCACUGGAGUUCGGCAGGGGAGACUGGAAUUCCUGGUGUAGCGGUGAAAUGCGCAGAUAUCAGGAGGAACACCAAUGGCGAAGGCAGCUCGCUGGAACGGUACUGACGC